CCACACUUUUGCUCAUUUCACUAUUACUACAGUGCUCCCUGCCCCUGGUCACGUUUCUAGGCUACUCACUACACAUCAUUCAGGCUCCACGUCUCACCAUUCUGACCAAAAAGAAGGCCACACUUUGAAUUCUUUCAUUCUUCUGAUCUAUUCCUCGCUGCUAGUCCUGAGUUCUCACCACCACCAUGUUGGUAAUACUGGCCUUCAUCAUCCUAUUCCACAUAGUCUCUGCCAUCCUCCUAUUCAUAGCAACAAUAAACAAUGCCUGGUGGGUUGUUGGAAACGAGAACGCCUUAUAUGCUGACCUCUGGUACAUCUGCAAUAAAACGUUUUGCGGACCCAUACCCAACAGCGCAUCCACCGAAGCAGGCUACCUCCAGGCUGUGCAGGCGACGAUGAUCCUGUCCACCAUCUUGUGCUGUGUGGGCUUCUUCGUGUUCAUCCUGCAGCUCUUCCGUCUGAAGCAGGGCGAACGCUUCGUCUUCACCGCCAUCAUCCAGCUGCUGUCUUCGCUGUGCGUGAUGAUUGGCGCCUCCAUCUACACGGCCCAGCGCACGUCCUUCCAGGGAAAGAGUCUGGAGAAUGGCAACUACGGCUACACCUUUGUCUUAGCCUGGAUCGCCUUCCCCAUGACUUUGAUCAGUGGUCUGAUGUAUCUAGUUUUGAGAAAGCGCAAAUAGACAGAACUCAUCACCUCACCAUUGCCAAGAAGCUACAUUGCCUUGAGCAAUUUUUUCUGAGCUUUACACCCGGGAAUGAAUUUGCAAACUUGAAACCAAAGAUGCUCCAUGCUUCAACCUGUUCAAGAACAAGCACUUACAAAAACCACUAUGCAGUUUAUUCAUUAGCUAUAGGUUCAUGGUCCAGUCAUAUUUCACCUGGACACAGCUCCACUCCAAAACAUGGCCAUCUGGCUGCAGUCUCCGCAGCAUCUUUGACCAUUAGAUGGGUGAAAAGCCAAAGAAGGAAAAACUAAAUAAGGUCAGGUUGUUUUUGGGCAGGGCACUAGACUAUACUUGAAACGGAGUAAAUUGUUGACGGUGGGGGGGGGGGGAAGCUGCAUAAUUGUGCCUGUUCUUGUGAAUUAGUCUUUUUCACUAGAGUUUUAUCCAUAGUUCUGAAUUGUAUUGCAUGUUUUGUUGUACUUCGCCUUAUUUUAGCUUAAAUGCAUCAGUAAAUCCAUUAUUGUUUUGUAGAUCAUGCGUUAUACAUUUAGAGACCAAUGCCUCCUGGGGCUUUAGGAUUAUUUGGAAUAUUGAGUGAUAGGAGGUGAGGAUUGUGUAUGAAUCCCAGACCAAAUCUCAUCAAGUCACCUCUCAUAACGAGCAAAGAGUAGCAAAUGUGAUAUAUAUAUAUAUAUAUAUAUAUAUAAAAAAAAUAAUACAUACAAAUUUGAGCAACUUUUGACAAAGACUGUAUUUAUUGUGUAGUAAAUGCAUUGUGUUGCUGUUAAUAUUUUUGCAAUGAAGUAUUUGACCCAAAAGCUUGAAACCAAUUUCCUUCUGGCAUAUGAUAUGAAGUAGUGUAGGUUAGGGUCUUCAAAUGUUUGUAAUUGGAUGCAAUCUCAGCCAAAGGCAGCUUCUUUUUCUCUGCUUAUAUCUUCUCACUUGCUCAACCUCUCGCCUCUUCCUGUAUUUCCAAAGAGACAGACCCCCAGCCAGGGCUCGAAAAGUUGUUUUUUUUUUGUGGUCAUAAUUAAAACGCAUUUUACAUUAAA